AUGCAUUGAAGUAGAAGAUGUUAUCUUCUCUGGCAUGCCUCCAUCGCAUCACAGACAUGAGCGUGCUUUCUCCCAGGUACAGAACCUGCCCUACUGUCUGCCUGAUGUGGCUUUGCAAGCAUCUGAAUGUUGAGAUAAGACCAUCCUUUCCUCCAAGAGCUUGGUAAAGGUAUUGUGUGAUCUAGUCUAAAGAGAAUUGUCUGAACUUGAAGAGGUUAAAAUCACCUGUUGACUUCUGCCUAUUUGAUUGCUUUUUGGAUGAGGCUCUGAACAGACAACAUGCCAUAUGGGAUCCAGCCAAAAAGAAGUAAU